AUUGAACGCUGGCGGCAUGCCUUACACAUGCAAGUCGAACGGCAGCACGGGAGCAAUCCUGGUGGCGAGUGGCGAACGGGUGAGUAAAGUAUCGGAACGUGCCCAGUCGUGGGGGAUAACGUAGCGAAAGUUACGCUAAUACCGCAUACGAUCUAUGGAUGCAAGCGGGGGAUCGCAAGACCUCGCGCGCGUGGUGCGGCCGAUAUCAGAUUAGGUAGUUGGUGGGGUAAAGGCUCACCAAGCCGACGAUUUGUAGCUGGUCUGAGAGGACGACCAGCCACACUGGGACUGAGACACGGCCCAGACUCCUACGGGAGGCAGCAGUGGGGAAUGUUGGACAAUGGGCGAAAGCCUGAUCCAGCCAUGCCGCGUGCAGGAUGAAGGCCUUCGGGUUGUAAACUGCUUUUGUACGGAACGAAAAGGUUUGGCCUAAUAAGCUGAGCUCAUGACGGUACCGUAAGAAUAAGCACCGGCUAACUACGUGCCAGCCGCCGCCGUAAAAC
rnacentral:rRNA from 1 species